UAACACUGUUAUUCGAACAAGUUGCUCGAAUCCGAACGUCUGACUCAACAUGAAGUUAUUUGUAGCUGCAUUUAUAUUGUGUUAUUCAAUAAUAGUGUUAGCACUUACAGAAUUAGAAGCUCCAAAAAUUAUAGAUGUAACCGCCCUGGAACCUGCUGGGAUUCACAUCAAAUGGCAUGUUAUACCCUACUUUGCGACAGACCCAAUAACUGGCUAUUUGGUGAGAAUCUGGAGAGUAGAAGAAUCUACACAGGGGCAUUUUACUUUGAUCAACGGUGAUGAAACUCCAGGUCUGAUGUCAAUUGUACGGGUGUUGGAGCCUUACGACCUUGAAAAACCUCCAAAAAGUAAGCCAAGGACAGUGGUUGUGACAGACGUUAACACAAGAGAAUCAAAAAUUAAUGGUGUUAAAUACAACGAACUCUAUGAGGUUCGUGUAAGUGCCUGCAAAAAAAGCGAAGAAGGACCAAUGUCGAAACCGGAAAGAAUCAAAAUCAUUCGAGGAACAGGUUACUAUACAGUUGUACAGAAGAACUCGCAAGACGCUUGCAAAGUAUCUGUCGCUUAUAACACUACAUUGGAUGAAGAAAAUUAUUCUACAAUUGAAACUAUACAUUUCUAAAAUUGCUAUGUUGUCUUGUGGUCUAGGUACCUAGCUAAAUUGAAAAGUUAUUUGUAACUCAGCUAUAUUAUUAAUAUAAUCAAAAAAUUACGUAAAAUAUUAACUCAUAAACUAAUUACUAGUAGUAAUUACUAUAUUAUUUCACCCUUUUAAUUUUGUAACUUUAUUUUUACAAUUGUAUUGGUACAAUAAAAAAUUUUGGGGAUAUACAUUCUUGUUUUACGGCCGUUCCCAAUAUUAAGUCUAAUCUGUCGAUGGGAUGACGUAUAGCUUACCAGGGAUAGAAGUUUCAAUUCACGCAUCCCAAUAUAAGGCGAUAAGAAUGACUUAUCGGGUAUAUUGGGACAGCUUCAGAUUAUUGACAGCUAAUUACUGACAGUAGAAGGUAGUAAUUUAUCUCUAUCUGUAGAUAGUAUAUUGGGAACGGCC